UACGGGGGGAGCAAGCGUUGUUCGGAUUUACUGGGCGUAAAGGGCGCGUAGGCGGUAGCACAAGUCAGUUGUGAAAUCUCCGGGCUUAACUCGGAAAGGUCAACUGAUACUGUGCGACUAGAGUGCAGAAGGGGCAACUGGAAUUCGUCGGUGUAGCGGUGAAAUGCGUAGAUAUCGAGAGGAACACCUGCGGCGAAGGCGGGUUGCUGGGCUGACACUGACGCUGAGGCGCGAAAGCCAGGGGAGCGAACGGG
rnacentral:rRNA from 1 species